rnacentral:misc_RNA from 1 species
CCAAACUUGGUCAUUUAGAGGAAGUAAAAGUCGUAACAAGGUCUCCGUUGGUGAACCAGCGGAGGGAUCAUUACCGAGUUUACAACUCCCAAACCCCUGUGAACAUACCUAUCGUUGCUUCGGCGGGAUCGCCCCGGCGCCUUCGGGACCGGACCCAGGCGCCCGCCGGAGGACCCAAACUCUUGUUUCUUUUGAGAUUCUUCUGAGUAAAACAAGCAAAUAAAUCAAAACUUUCAACAACGGAUCUCUUGGUUCUGGCAUCGAUGAAGAACGCAGC